GGGCCGGUAGCUCAGUUAGGGAGAGCGUCUGGCUUUUAACCAGAUGGUCGGGGGUUCAACUCCCUCCCGGCCCG
rnacentral:tRNA from 1 species